AGAGAACCAGAACACAGGUGCUGCAUGGCCGUCGUCAGCUCGUGUCGUGAGAUGUUGGGUUAAGUCCCGCAACGAGCGCAACCCUUGUCAUUAGUUGCUACGAAAGGGCACUCUAAUGAGACUGCCGGUGACAAACCGGAGGAAGGUGGGGAUGACGUCAGGUCCUCAUGGCCCUUAUGGGUAGGGCUACACACGUCAUACAAUGGCCGGUACAGAGGGCUGCCAACCCGCGAGGGGGAGCCAAUCCCAGAAAACCGGUCGUAGUCCGGAUUGCAGUCUGCAACUCGACUGCAUGAAGUCGGAAUCGCUAGUAAUCGCGGAUCAGCUUGCCGCGGUGAAUACGUUCCCGGGUCUUGUACACACCGCCCGUCACACCAUGGGAGCGGGUUCUGCCAGAAGUAGUUAGCCUAACCGCAAGGAGGGCGAUUACCACGGCAGGGCUCGUGACUGGGGUGAAGUCGUAACAAGGUAGCCGUAUCGGAAGGUGCGGCUGGAUCACCUCCUU
rnacentral:rRNA from 1 species